rnacentral:lncRNA from 1 species
AAAAAAAAAAAAAAAAAAAAAAAAAUAGAAUAAAAAUAAAAAUAAAAUAAAAAUGUGGAUAAAACAUAAUGAAAUAAAAUAAAUAGAACGCAGUAUAAUAAAACAGAACGAAAUUUGUUUUUUUUUAAUUACCAAUUUCAUAGAAAAAAAAAAAAAAAAUGGAAUGUUUUACAAUCUUUUUUUGUUUUUUUUUGUAUGUUAAUUUUUAAAUGUGUUCAAGUUUGCUUUCUUAUUUUUUAUUUUUCAUUUUUUUUUUUUGUUAAUAAAUUUGUUAUUAAACGAAGGUUUGUAGUCUGUAUGCACACAUACGUACGUACGUGCAUACUUACAUGCUAUAUGCAACAUAAAUAUAUAUAUAUAUAUAUUUACGUACGGUUACAUUUCUCUCCGUUUUUGUGUGUACUCAUGUUAAACCUUACGUUUUGACAACAUAUUUGUUUUUAGUUAGUAAAACGUAUCUUCAUGAGUGAAUCCAUAAUUGUUUUAUACCACUCAUAAUUUUUUAAAAGUAUGAAACAAAAAUAAUUGUAUAUAUAUAUAUAUAUAUGUAUGUAUUAAAUAAAAUGAAAUUAUUCCUGAUGCUUCUUUUCAUAAUUUUUUUAAAAAAUAUACAAUGUGAUAUUAAAGAAUUAAGUUCUCAUGAAUUUUUUAAUAUGUUAACGACAGGAAAAAACUAUAAAAAAAAAAAAUCAAAAUUUAAAUAAUAUUUUAGAUUUUAAAAGCAUAAAUGACUUACAAGAAAAUGCACAUAUAAAGACAACCAAAGACUUUGUUCUUUAUGUGUAUGCAAAAUGGGAUAACGAUUCGAAUAAUUUAAUAGCCGUUUUUAGAGAAGUAGAAAAAAUAAUAAAAGAAAAGAACUUAAAGUUAGAUUUUUAUAUAUUUAACAUAGAAAAUGCUAAAGAUUUAUGUAAUGCAUUAAACAUCACGUCACUCCCCUUGAUACUAUAUAUCUCUUCGGGGCAUAAAAAAAAAAAAAAUUCAUUAUUUCAGAGGAUUUUUAGUUCCAGUAAAGAUGUGAAAAUAAACAAUGCCUUUAGAUACAAUGGAGACUUGUAUUGCUAUGAUUACAUAGUAGAAUGGAUAGAAAUACAUUACCACUUUGCAAAAACAGUUUUACUAAUGAAAAACAUAUUUAAAAAAAAAAAAAAAAUAACACAUGCACAUAUAUAAUGUUAUUUUUAUUUUACUAUUUACAAUAGAAUGAUUUUUUUUUAAACGAACUGAUUAACAAAAUGUAAGGAACUGUUUUUUAAUAAUUAUAAAAGUUUUGAAUGAAAAUGUAAAAUGUUUUUUUUUUCUUAUUUAAAUCUUAAUGAAUAAUUAUUAUUUUUUAAAUGAAACAUAACAUUUUACUUCAGCUUUUUUUUUUUUUAAAUCUAUAUAAAUACAUUUAUGUUAUAUAUUUAUAUAAGUUCCUAUUGGCGUAUACACCCAUUCAUAUAUGUUGUCUAUAUUUUUUUAUACACACAUAUAUAUAUGUAUAUAUAAACUUUUAAGUUUAAUGUAAGUAAAAAUAAGAUUUUUAAUUUAAUCUAAAUAAAAAUAUAUAUAUAUUUUUUUUUUAUAAAAAU